UUUAACGAGACGCAUACGUCUUCCAUAACGGAAGCUCAACAAUAUUUAUUUGUCUAUUAUUAUUUGACAACUCACGCUUUCUGGGUAGCUGUGUGGAAAUUUCAUAAUCUUCUUAAAUUUUUAUAGUAGACGAAGCCGCAGCUGGGAAUGAAUCGAAUUUUUAAAAACUCUUUAAACCCAUGUUUUCUUUUUUUCUGGAGGGCUAGGCCGGCGCUGUUUACGCAACUCAAGCGCAUCCAUCAGUGCAGACGAAAGGCGCUGAGGCAGACUGGACGCCCAUACAAUGCACAGACAGGGAGUGUAGCCACUCCUUGAUGAAGGCUCCGCAUCUGCACUGUCCAUUCUGCUCCCAGGACAGUCUCUUCACUGAGGAGAUUCUCCUCAAGGCGCACUACGUACAGGGUCAAGUACGUGGAUAAAGGCAUCAACAUUGGGGGAUGUCAACCAGAUCUUCACCACAUACACUGACCCAGCACCCAACAGUACCAGCCUGGUAACACACCUCAUAGUCCCCCAGUCACAGCAGCCAUCGGAGACAGACACAUCAUCCCCGGGGCUAUGAGCAGACUGAUGGGCAGCAGCCGCAGAUCGAGUACCAAUAUGCCUGCAUCAAUGAUCCGAGUCAGAGCACUGCCAAUGGGGAAGUUGUCCUUAUUGAGAUACCAGACGAAGGAAGCAAAGAGGAUUUGGAGGACGAGACUUGCUACACAGAGCACAACUUGUCGCUGCUGCUGCAGGAGAAGGAAAGUCUGGAGAAGACUCUUGAGGAGGAGCGGACCACGUGGGCCCAGACAGAGCACAGAAUGAAAGGUACUAUAGAAAGGCUUCGUACAAAGGUGAGUGGGCAUUCCAUCUGGUCUUGGUCUAAGAAUGAGUUUGGAUCUUGUUCCCUGCAUGCAACAGGUACCAAGGGCGUCAAUCGCUUCUCAAAAGUGGGAGGGGGGACAUACCUUGAUCAGAACUAAUGCAGGCACACUAA